GGAUUAGGCAUGCAAGUCGAGCGAGGAAAGUUGUAGCAAUACGGCUUAUUCGAGCGGCGUAAGGGGCAGUAAUACCUGGGAACGUACCCUGAGGUCGGGGAUAGCUGCUGGAAACGGCGAGUAAUACCCGAUGAUCUUGGAAAAGCAAAGGCUUGCCGCCUUGGGAGCGGCCCAGGCGAUAUUAGCUAGUUGGUGAGGUAACGGCUUACCAAGGCAAAGAUGUCUAGCGGGUGUGAGAGCACGACCCGCGCCACUGGCACUGAGACACUGGCCAGACACCUACGGGUGGCUGCAGUCGAGAAUCUUCGGCAAUGAGCGCAAGCUUGACCGAGCGACGCCGCGUGCGGGAUGAAGGCCUUCGGGUUGUAAACCGCUUUGGUCCGAGAGAAAGGGCAACUUGAUCGAUCGGAGAAACAAGGACGGGCUAAGUUCGUGCCAGCAGCCGCGGUAAUA
rnacentral:rRNA from 1 species